AGAGUUUGAUCCUGGCUCAGGACGAACGCUGGCGGCGUGCUUAACACAUGCAAGUCGAGCGAUGAAGCUCCUUCGGGAGUGGAUUAGCGGCGGACGGGUGAGUAACACGUGGGUAACCUGCCUCAUAGAGGGGAAUAGCCUUUCGAAAGGAAGAUUAAUACCGCAUAAGAUUGUAGUACCGCAUGGUAUAGCAAUUAAAGGAGUAAUCCGCUAUGAGAUGGACCCGCGUCGCAUUAGCUAGUUGGUGAGGUAACUGCUCACCAAGGCGACGGUGCGUAGCCGACCUGAGAGGGUGAUCGGCCACAUUGGGACUGAGACACGGCCCAGACUCCUACGGGAGGCAGCAGUGGGGAAUAUUGCACAAUGGGGGAAACCCUGAUGCAGCAACGCCGCGUGAGUGAUGACGGUCUUCGGAUUGUAAAGCUCUGUCUUUAGGGACGAUAAUGACGGUACCUAAGGAGGAAGCCACGGCUAACUACGUGCCAGCAGCCGCGGUAAUACGUAGGUGGCAAGCGUUGUCCGGAUU
rnacentral:rRNA from 1 species